AGGAGUGUAGUUCAAUUGGUAGAGCGUCGGCCUCCAAAGCCGAAAGUGAGGGUUCAAGUCCUUCCACUCCUG
rnacentral:tRNA from 1 species